rnacentral:misc_RNA from 1 species
AAGACUAUAGACCUGCGGAGUACCUGCGGAGGGAUCAUUAACGUAUCUCUGACGGGAGGCGGUGCGCCCAGCUCCGGUCCAAACGGCCGUGCAGCGGGUGCCCGCCCCUGUUCACACCUCACAAACCCACCGUGAACCCUCACGGCAGAGGGAGGGGGCGACCCUUCCGAUGCCGCAUACCAAAAACACCUGUUGUACAGAACGUCGUGCGGACUCUGUUCCGCCUAAAUCACAAAACAA